rnacentral:rRNA from 1 species
CCUACGGGAGGCAGCAGUGGGGAAUUUUGGACAAUGGGCGCAAGCCUGAUCCAGCCAUGCCGCGUGAGUGAAGAAGGCCUUCGGGUUGUAAAGCUCUUUCGGCGGGGACGAAACGGUUCGUGCUAAUACCACGGACUAAUGACGGUACCCGCAUAAGAAGCACCGGCUAACUACGUGCCAGCAGCCGCGGUAAU